UGACCGUUAUUUAACAUUUAAUGCUCCUCAUAACCGCGUAACACUGUCAGAAACUUACACCGCCUCAUUUGAUAAAAGCACCCCUCAAUCCUCAUUGCAGAAAUUGCAGAGCGAAAUUCCAAACCCUAAUGAAAAAUUCCCCUCUUUCUUUCAGGGAAUUGGGCGAUAAUCCAAAUUCCACUUCUUCCUCAAACAUUAUGAUGGAAUGCGAAGUUUCGGAAUUCGAACUUCACCAUCUUUCGAUUUCUGGAUAUCAAUUUCCGUAAUUGAAAAUCUUCAAUUCAUAUGAGUGGUAAUUGAUUGCCGUCUUUUGAAUUAUCGCCUUCUGAAGAGCCAAUAAUGAAGAUCUCUUUGAAUUUGCUAUUUAGUUACAUUGAGGGAUUUUGCAGUUAUUGGAGUACGAAGAACGAAUGUCUAAGUUAGAAGGUUGUUUGAAGGCAUUGGUUCUUCGUAGGCAGACGUACGGUUUUUACGAUCAAUUCUUUGUACUCGUAUGGGUGCGCCUCCACUUCUGCGAGACAUGCGCCUCCUUACGCCUUCGCGCCUUAUCUAGGUUUCACAAUGUCCGAGGAAGAUGUAUUGUCAUCCGUGAGACCGUGAGUGGAUUUUUGACAUGAUAAAGAUGUUAUCCUCUAUAGGUCUUUCUCUCCACCGAUUAACUACAACUUUUUUAUUUUCCAUUUAGUUAUUGUUUUCUAAUCUAUGCUAAAUUUUUCUGCUUGUAUAGUAGUUGACAAAUGUGAUUUAAGCAUAUUAUUUGCCACGAAUCCUACUGUGUUACUUUCUCCUAAAAAGUAUUACUUGUGUGUGGAUUUAGUAA